AACAAUAGCAUAAGCAAUUUAAAAAGGCUAGAACAGUUUGGGUUGAACUUUUUUGAAAGGAUAAAGAAACUUGAUCUUUCAAACAACCAAAUCAUAACAAUUUCAGAUAUAGUGCUAUAUGCGUUUUAGAAAAAUACAACUGGUCAAUAUUUCAAAUAAUGCAAUACAACGGAUUCCAAGGUCAUUACAAAUGCUGAAGCCAUGUCAGCUUGCCUUAGGACAAAUUAUUAUGAAAUGCAAAUGCGAGGAUCUUUGGCUGAAGAUAUGGUUACCGUUACAAUACCAAAGCUGUGCUGGAAACACACAAGUUUUAUGUGAACAUAAUGGACUACUUCGUUCUAUUACUGAAAUGGAUAAAGUAGAUCUGGGAUGUUCUACGACAAAUAACAAUGCUUCGUUGUUAAACAUUUCAAUAUGCUCAGCAUUUGUUGCAGUGAUCAUGAUUGCGUCUAUUAUAUAUAAGUUUCGGUCUGAAUUUUUUAUAUUAACAAGAUCUUUUUUCAAUUUCUUAAAGAAGCCUGUAACGCCAAAUUGUUUAAAACACGACAUAUAUAUUUCUGCAAAUGAAGAUGAUCCACAAGUGCGAAAAUGGUUGUUAACCUUUUUGGUUCCUUAUCUUGAGGAAAAAGGUUUUGAUGUGUUUUUAUUUUUCAGGGACAGUGCAUUCGGAGCUCCUCGGGAACAGGAGACGAUUGACGUCAUGUCUAAAAGUCGUAAUUUCAUAAUACUUCUUAGUGACAUUACCAAUGGCACUCAGG
rnacentral:lncRNA from 1 species